UACGGGGGGGGGCAAGCGUUUGUUCGGAAUUACUGGGCGUAAAGGGCUCGUAGGCGGCCAACUAAGUCAGACGUGAAAUCCCUCGGCUUAACCGGGGAACUGCGUCUGAUACUGGAUGGCUAGAGGUUGGGAGAGGGAUGCGGAAUUCCAGGUGUAGCGGUGAAAUGCGUAGAUAUCUGGAGGAACACCGGUGGCGAAGGCGGCAUCCUGGACCAAUUCUGACGCUGAGGAGCGAAAGCCAGGGGAGCAAACGGG
rnacentral:rRNA from 1 species